rnacentral:tRNA from 1 species
AAAAAAUUAGUUAAAAAAUAACAUUGAUUUGUCAUGUCAAAGUCGCUGCCAUAACAGCAUUUUUUU